CGAUCCCUACUUACGUAUUUUGCUACAAUUGAUAAAAAGAUGGUUUAAUUUGUGUGCUUAUAUAUUUCGUAUCAAUUAUCUAAUGCAUGUGUGCUUCUGCGGCAGGAGUUGCAGAAUGCUGAUCCGACAUAGAAAAGAACGGUAGAUGUCUGGAGUUUAUCUGAAAAGGAAAGGUGCACUGUCCUUUACCGCCGCUAAAAUUUUCUUAUCAGUAAGCAGCUGUCCUGUAAUUAGAUUUGUCAGAGUAUUCAUGCAUUCUUGCUGCUUAGCGGGUUGCCUUGGAGUCUCGGGAGAAUGCAUGAGUGGCACACAGACUUUUGUAGGAGCAGAUUCUAUGGAAAUUUCAAGGUCAUCAGGGGCUGUUUCCUCCUUUGGGCGUGAAUAACAGGCAGAUGUCUCCUCGGUUCCUGCACCAACCUCUUGAUCAUCAUAGCUUCUCCCACGGUUUACUGCUUGAAUUUGAAAUCCUUGAUUGGUUAUUUCUAUGUACAAUUCAAUUGAUUCCAACAAUUUAGAUAGUUUGUCCUCCACCGAAAGCUCUUGUGGCACAUUAAGCCGUUCAAAAUACUGCCCAAGAUGCCGUUUCAAACUUUGAGUGUAGAACUCUGAAUGGGGAUUGUUCCAGUUCCAUUUUGAAUCGUUUCUCAUAUUUAUAUACUCCUGGACAUAAUCUGGAAAAUAUUCUCUCUCAGGACAUUGCAAAAUAUCAUGAGUAUUUGAAUUACAAAGAGCACAAACUGUAGGCUUAAAUCCAUAAUAACCCUUUUCUGCUAAUGACACCCAAAGAGGUGGUCCACCGGGUGUUAGAUUGAAUUCAGGGGGAACUGCAAAUUCCAUUGUUGCACUGCUCAAAAA